rnacentral:rRNA from 1 species
CAGUGGGGAAUAUUGGACAAUGGGCGAAAGCCUGAUCCAGCCAUGCCGCGUGGAUGAUGAAGGCCCUAGGGUUGUAAAGUCCUUUUAACGGGGAAGAUAAUGACGGUACCCGUAGAAUAAGCCCCGGCUAACUUCGUGCCAGCAGCCGCGGUAAUACGAAGGGGGCUAGCGUUGCUCGGAAUUACUGGGCGUAAAGCGCACGUGGGCGGCUUCUUAAGUCGGUGGUGAAAUCCUGGGGCGAAACUCCAGAACUGCCUGCGAUACUGGGAAGCUUGAGUUCGGGAGAGGUGAGUGGAACUGCGAGUGUAGAGGUGAAAUUCGUAGAUAUUCGCAAGAGCGCCAGGGGCGAAGGCGGCGCACUGGCCCGAUACUGACGCUGAGGUGCGAAAGCGUGGGGAGCAAACAGGAUUAA